rfam:Lutzomyia longipalpis Contig1933, whole genome shotgun sequence.
AGACCAAAGCGUAGGGUAAACUGUGAUCAAGAAGACAGAUACCCCAAGGCUACGCCCGCCAUUGAACACCCAGGCUGUGGCCGAUCCUUGCGAUUACAGGGUUGGUAAUUCGUACGUUUAAUUUUUGGUAGUUUGGGACAGUGGACGCGCGCGCUGUCCCUCU